GUGUUCGCUUUGGCAGCACAUAUACAAAAAUUGGAACUAUAUAGAGAAGAUUAGCAUGGACCCUGUGCAAGGAUGGCAUGCAAAUUCAUGAAGUGUUCCAUAUUUUU
ensembl:snRNA U6 U6 spliceosomal RNA